AUGACAAAGAUGGGACGCUUUUGCACUGGAUAUUGCAAAUUGUAUGUGUUUAUUUUCCUAUAUUUCCCUGUUCUUCUCUGUGUAGGGCUGUGUAGAAGUGAACACAGGAUGUUCACAUCUGUGAAGGCAACAGAAACGUCAUUCCAAAUUGCAAUGGAGACAGAGAGCAUCCGGUCGGGCGGAUUCUUUACCAAGCUGAGUCACCAGGGAAGCCGGAAGAAGGACCAGCUGGUCUGUUUAUCAGUGACAGAAGACAGGAGGAGGAGAGAACCGUUUCUGAGUGAGGCAAUCAAAUCUGUCUUGGUCGCUUCAUGGCCGGAAGGCCCUCGGAUAGCAAGGCUGGAGUGUGGGAAAUGCUGUCUCCUCACAGGAUGGAUGCCGUCAGAUGUGAAUGGACAGAAGCAUGAAGGGAAGAAGUGAAGUGACGUCGCUCAGUCGUGUCUGACUCUUUGUGACCCCACAUACACUGUAGCCUACCAGGCUCCCCCAUCCAUGGAAUUCUCCAGGCAAGAAUACUGGAGUGGGUUGCCAUUUUCUUCUCCAGGGGGAUCUUCCCAAUCCAGGGAUAGAACCCAGGUCUCCCGCAUUGCAGGCAGAUGCUUUAUUGUCUGAGCCACCAGGGAAGCCCCGAUAAGCAUUAAGGGAAGAAACAUAUAAAAGAGAAUAGCACACAGUCUCUCACGAUUUCCUACCGUAGUUAAGCACGGUGUGGACUCUCAGACCCAGAAGAGUCUGAUCUUUGUGGAAGGCUGUUCCUCACCACGACGCCCUUGGUUUAGGGUCACCCAAGAACGUGACACUCGAGUUUGAUGAGUCAGGAGAAGCUUGUUCUCAACCCUGAGAAGAUUUUCCGAGAGGAAAAAGUGGUGCUUGAGUGUGUGUGUGUGUACGUGUGCAUGUGUGUGUGUAAAAAGAGACAAUUUGUCCUUCUGAUUUUCUAUUUUCUUAGCAAACACUAGAUAUGAACAAGAACAGAUAUGACAGAGAGGGUGAAAUCCAGAUAAUAAUCUGAAUUUAAAUGGACGGUGUCGCAGGAAUGGUUUAAUAAGCCUAG
rnacentral:lncRNA from 1 species